GACAGAGGCCUCAAGCGUUAGGCGGAAUCACUGGGCUUAAAGCGUGUGUAGGCGGAUCGUUAAGUGCCUUGUGAAAUCCCACGGCUUAACUGUGGAACGGCUGGGCAUACUGGCGGUCUUGAGCCAUCUAGGGGCGACUGGAACAAACGGUGGAGCGGUGAAAUGCGCAGAUAUCAGGAGGAACACCGAUGGCGAAGGCAGGUCUCUGGGCAUUAACUGACGCUGAGGAGCGAAAGCAUGGGGAGCGAACAGG
rnacentral:rRNA from 1 species